UGCUGGGAGUUGUCCGGAGGCCAGCAGCGCGGGGCUGAGCGCCCUCCAACAGAGCAAUCAUGUCCCACAAACAAAUCUACUAUUCGGACAAAUACGACGACGAGGAGUUCGAGUACCCGCAUGUCAUGUUGCCCAAGGACAUAGCCAAGCUGGUCCCUAAAACCCAUUUGAUGUCUGAAUCUGAAUGGAGGAACCUCGGCGUUCAACAGAGUCAGGGAUGGGUCCACUAUAUGAUCCAUGAACCAGAACCUCACAUCUUACUGUUCCGGCGGCCACUGCCCAAGAANCCAAAGAAAUGAAGCCAGUGAACCGCCUUCCGGCCUCGAGCUUUCCACAGCUGUCCUCACUCCCUACCAUCUUUCUGAUCUUGUGAUCAUGUUGCUUUCUUAUUUCUCACUUUGAUAUGUAAAGGAUACACUGUUUGAAUGUGCUGGUACCUGCUUUGCUUCUGGAGUUGAGC